AUUGAACGCUGGCGGCAUGCCUUACACAUGCAAGUCGAACGGUAACAGGUCUUCGGGUGCUGACGAGUGGCGAACGGGAGAGUAAUACAUCGGAACGUGCCUAGUAGUGGGGGAUAACUACUCGAAAGAGUGGCUAAUACCGCAUGAGAUCUACGGAUGAAAGCAGGGGAUCGCAAGACCUUGUGCUACUAGAGCGGCCGAUGGCAGAUUAGGUAGUUGGUGGGAUAAAAGCUUACCAAGCCGACGAUCUGUAGCUGGUCUGAGAGGACGAUCAGCCACACUGGGACUGCGACAAGGCCCAGACUCCUAAGGGAGGCAGCAGUGGGGAAUUUUGGACAAUGGGCGCAAGCCUGAUAAAGCAAUGCCGCGUGCAGGAAGGAGGCCUUCGGGUUGUAAACUGCUUUUGUACGGAACGAAACGGCUCUGGUUAAUACCUGGGGCUAAUGACGGUACCGUAAGAAUAAGCACCGGCUAACUACGUGCCAGCCGCCGCCGUAACAC
rnacentral:rRNA from 1 species